rnacentral:rRNA from 1 species
ACAUGCAAGUCGAACGGUAACAGGAAGCAGCUUGCUGCUUUGCUGACGAGUGGCGGACGGGUGAGUAAUGUCUGGGAAACUGCCCGAUGGAGGGGGAUAACUACUGGAAACGGUAGCUAAUACCGCAUAAUGUCGCAAGACCAAAGAGGGGGACCUUCGGGCCUCUUGCCAUCGGAUGUGCCCAGAUGGGAUUAGCUAGUUGGUGAGGUAACGGCUCACCAAGGCGACGAUCCCUAGCUGGUCUGAGAGGAUGACCAGCCACACUGGAACUGAGACACGGUCCAGACUCCUACGGGAGGCAGCAGUGGGGAAUAUUGCACAAUGGGCGCAAGCCUGAUGCAGCCAUGCCGCGUGUAUGAAGAAGGCCUUCGGGUUGUAAAGUACUUUCAGCGGGGAGGAAGGGGUUAAGGUUAAUAACCUUAGCCAUUGACGUUACCCGCAGAAGAAGCACCGGCUAACUCCGUGCCAGCAGCCGCGGUAAUACGGAGGGUGCAAGCGUUAAUCGGAAUUACUGGGCGUAAAGCGCACGCAGGCGGUCUGUCAAGUCGGAUGUGAAAUCCCCGGGCUCAACCUGGGAACUGCAUUCGAAACUGGCAGGCUUGAGUCUCGUAGAGGGGGGUAGAAUUCCAGGUGUAGCGGUGAAAUGCGUAGAGAUCUGGAGGAAUACCGGUGGCGAAGGCGGCCCCCUGGACGAAGACUGACGCUCAGGUGCGAAAGCGUGGGGAGCAAACAGGAUUAGAUACCCUGGUAGUCCACGCCGUAAACGAUGUCUAUUUGGAGGUUGUGCCCUUGAGGUGUGGCUUCCGGAGCUAACGCGUUAAAUAGACCGCCUGGGGAGUACGGCCGCAAGGUUAAAACUCAAAUGAAUUGACGGGGGCCCGCACAAGCGGUGGAGCAUGUGGUUUAAUUCGAUGCAACGCGAAGAACCUUACCUGGUCUUGACAUCCACAGAACUUGGCAGAGAUGCCUUGGUGCCUUCGGGAACUGUGAGA